rnacentral:rRNA from 1 species
GAUGAACGCUGGCGGCGUGCUUAACACAUGCAAGUCGAACGAAGCACUUUAACUUGAUUUCUUCGGAUUGAUUGUUAUUGUGACUGAGUGGCGGACGGGUGAGUAACGCGUGGGUAACCUGCCUCAUACAGGGGGAUAACAGUUGGGAACGACUGCUAAUACCGCAUAAGCGCACGGUAUCGCAUGAUACAGUGUGAAAAACUCCGGUGGUAUGAGAUGGACCCGCGUCUGAUUAGCUAGUUGGCGGAGUAACGGCCCACCAAGGCAACGAUCAGUAGCCGACCUGAGAGGGUGACCGGCCACAUUGGGACUGAGACACGGCCCAAACUCCUACGGGAGGCAGCAGUGGGGAAUAUUGCACAAUGGGCGAAAGCCUGAUGCAGCGACGCCGCGUGAACGAUGAAGUAUUUCGGUAUGUAAAGUUCUAUCAGCAGGGAAGAAGAAUGACGGUACCUGACUAAGAAGCACCGGCUAAAUACGUGCCAGCAGCCGCAGUAA